rnacentral:rRNA from 4 species
UUGAAAAGAACUUUGAAGAGAGAGUUCAAGAGUACGUGAAACCGUUCAGGGGUAAACCUAAGAAACCCAAAAGAUCGAACGGGGAGAUUCAUCGUCAGCGACGCUGGCUUCGCGUCGGUGGGCGAUGUCCCGCGGGGCCUCGCGGCUCGCGCGCGGGCACGCUGCCGUGCGUCGAUGUCCGGCGUUCGUCGUCGUGCACUUCUCCCCUAGUAGAACGUCGCGACCCGCUGGGUGUCGGUCUACGGUCCGGGUGCGGUGACUGACGCGUCGCCGGUAAAACGGCACGCGUCAAACCCUCGGUCGCCCGGCCGGCUGCCCGGCGGUACACGCAAGGUAUCAGGCCGCAGCUCUCACGUAUGUGACGAGUGUGCGUCGAGGCCGUCGCAAGCGCGCGCCACGGUACACGGAGGCUAACGGACCUAGUGCCGUCACCGGUCCUGGCCCGCUGUUGGUCGUACGGUUAACCUUCGACAGGCCUACGAACGUCCCACGGGGUCUACCCCACGGGGACCGAUACCGGUCGGCGACGCUACUGCUUUGGGUACUCUUAGGACCCGUCUUGAAACACGGACCAAGGAGUCUAACAUGUACGCGAGUCAUUGGGACUAGCGACACCUAAAGGCGUAAUGAAAGUGAAGGUCGGCCCUGGUUGUCGACCGAGGGAGGAUGGGCCGCGUCGCGAUGCGGCUCCGCACUCCCGGGGCGUCUCGUUCUCAUCGCGAGAAGAGGCGCACCUAGAGCGUACACGUUGGGACCCGAAAGAUGGUGAACUAUGCCUGGUCAGGACGAAGUCAGGGGAAACCCUGAUGGAGGUCCGUAGCGAUUCUGACGUGCAAAUCGAUCGUCGGAACUGGGUAUAGGGGCGAAAGACUAAUCGAACCAUCUAGUAGCUGGUUCCCUCCGAAGUUUCCCUCAGGAUAGCUGGCACUCGGCCGUUCCGCACGGAACGCGCGCGAGUCUCAUCUGGUAAAGCGAAUGAUUAGAGGCCUUGGGGCCGAAACGACCUCAACCUAUUCUCAAACUUUAAAUGGGUGAGAUCUCUGGCUUUCUUGAACUAUGAAGCCACGAGCAUCUCGGAUCAGAGUGCCAAGUGGGCCAUUUUUGGUAAGCAGAACUGGCGCUGUGGGAUGAACCAAACGCAGAGUUAAGGCGCCCAACUCGACGCUCAUGGGACACCAUGAAAGGCGUUGGUUGCUUAAGACAGCAGGACGGUGGCCAUGGAAGUCGGAAUCCGCUAAGGAGUGUGUAACAACUCACCUGCCGAAGCAACUAGCCCUGAAAAUGGAUGGCGCUGAAGCGUCGAGCCUAUACUCUGCCGUCAGCGGCAAGUGGGGCGGCCGUGCGCGCCACCAGGCGCGUACGCGCCGCCACGAGGCCCUGACGAGUAGGAGGGUCGCGGCGGUGUGCGCAGAAGGGUCU